UCACUGGGAAGCUUUGGGAGUUCUCCUAGGAGAAUCAGCAAAUCUGGGCUAGGGUAUCGAGCGCCUCGCUGUUCACAGCAGAGGGGCCCCCAAGGCAGGAGUCUCCGGAUACAGGAUUAAGACCGUGGAAUCGGAGCCACAGACGCACACCCCUCCCAGGGUCCUUGCACAGUCCAGGAGGAAGAGGAUGGUCCCCACUGCUGUCCGCAAGUAGCAUCCCCAAAGCUGGAAAAGCAUCGGGAGGUCCCCGGGAUCCACUAUGCUAACCUUCCCCCAAUUCCCAGCACCGAUCCGUCGGAGACCCAGAUGGCUUGGGUGGUCAAACUACCUGGCAGAACCAGCCACAGAGAACCCGGACCUUCUUCUAACCCAUGGGACAUGGAGAAGGUGGUGGCCGUCACUUCCCUCUCUGCCGUCUUGCCAGCAGACUUGAGUGUUGAUACGGUGAGACCCACCCCUGGCCGGGAACCUGUAGGUUGACAAGAGACUCUCAGAGAGCACCUGGGUCAACGUGCCUGCGUGGACUCCUGGCGCACAAGCCCGUGAGACGGAUGCGACAGUCCUUCCCGGACUUGAGCCAAUUGGAACUUCUCCUUCUCCAACAACCCGAUUGCUGCAGGGGAGGGCCACCUUGGAGGGGCAUGUCAAAGCCGCCCCAGGCCACCCAGAGGAAGCUUGGUCACGGGACCUGUGCGCUGGUGAUGUCCCCUGGCCGACUCCACCUCCCUGAUCUCAGUUCCUCAGCUGAGAGCUGAGAAUGUCACGAAGCUCUGAUUCCUGGACAGCGCCGACCCUAGGGACUGAGAAUUCGGGAGCGAUCAUCCGUCUCGGCUGAGCGAGGGCAGGCGGACCCCCACUUGUCUGAGUGUCUGUGAGUCCCCCGUCUCCUUUCCUUUGGAGAAUACAGAGUACUGAAUACCGAACCACCCCCUCAUGGAUCUGGCUGACCGAGGCCAGCAGACCUUGAGUGGUUCGAGGUGAGUGUCCCUCAUGUCACGACUGGGGCUCCUCCUCCCACGAUCUUGGGGUGGUUUUGUCCUUGUUUUGAACCCCGGUAGCUGUCGGCACUCCCGGCUCUGUUUCCUGAUCUGCAUCGACGGGAAAGAGCACAAGGCUCUGGUCUCUGUUGGCCUCUGAGAUCUCCAAGCUCCUGUGAGGACUGAUGCGUGGGCACGGCCAGGUUCAGAGACUGCCCAGGCCAAGAGCACUCCAGGGCCACCUGAGGCCCAGGACUGAGGACCUGAGUGACAGGGAUCAGCUGCUGGAAGCUGGUCUGUGCCGGACCUGGGGCGGGCUGUUCCCUGGGGACCCUUUCACAGGGUUCUGGGUGCCAGCCUCUGAGGCGGGUCACAUGGCCCCAGCCCACUCUCUGCCCAGGUGAGAAGACUGGGCUUCGGGAGGCACAGGUGUCGGCCCAGUCCACCCGGCUUCGGCGGCUGGCCUGGGACCUCAGGUGGGUACGGUGCCACCCCUGAUCCUGGUGAUCAACGUGCCGAGUGCGUCUCACCCCAGAUUCACUCAGCAAAGACUCGUUUUUGUCAUUGUCCAAGUUCACCCAGCUGGGAUGUGACCGGGCUUAGACCUCCCAAAGCCUGUGCCCUUCAGCACCCUCUGACCACACCCAGCUUCCGGCACAUUCCCCUGCUGCCUCCUGGCACCCUGCGUGUUAAAGCUGGGGUCUUCAGGGAGCCCCGGGAGCUCAAGUGUGGAAAGGUGGGUGUCCCUCCCGCCCCCCACUCCCCAGCCUGCCACCAGGAGGUGGUGGAGAAUGCAGGAGGCGGGGGCUCAUUGGAGGAGGAAGGAUAUGUCUGAGGGGGUGCUGGGACCCUGCCCGGCCUCUCUCUCUCUCUCUCUCUCUGCUUCUGUACCCCAUGUGCUGAGCUGUGUCCUUCCGCCCCGAUGCCCUGCCUCACCAUGAGCCCAGAAAUGAGGACCCAGUGACCACGGCUGGCAGCCCGUGAGUCCGACAGACCUGUCCUUCUUGAAGUCGCUCGCUUGGGUUCGUCCUGGUGAUGCAAAGCUGUCACUCGGUAUCUCUGUGCCAUCGCACUAGACAGAGCCGGGACAUUGUAUCGGACUUUCUGAUGUGAAGAUCUAUCUGCCUUACUAUGCUGUGUGCUUUUAAGGGGAGGGAGCACCUCUCUGUUUUGUUCAGGAAACACCCGCGGGCUGAACAAGUUGUGCCGAGUUUUCUCUUCCUGAAUCACUGUGGGUUCUAGGAGUUGGGAAAAGUGGCCUUUCCCAUCAGGAAUCCCCUGAGACUAAUCAAUGUCAGUCAGACCAGCUUGGAAUCGACCGCCCACCCAUGUGAAUCCUUUUGGAACCUCUCAACAGAUGUCGCCUUCACCGAGUUGAUUUUCACAAGGUCUUAAAAUGGGAUCCAGGCAUCAGGUCAAAAUAUCAGAUGGGUCAGGUCCCUUCACGGAAUUAGGCGUCUCAUGUGGUCACUCUUCUUGCUUCAUUUGACUUUCUUCUUCUGUUUCCUUGAUUACUUCUUUGGACCAAAGUUCUGCUCGUGUUUGGAUGAGGCAUGGGGCAGACUUAGUUCCCUAUUUUCUACCCAUUGCCCCUUUCUUCUUGAGAGGAGGGUCAUGUUUUGUUCAGAGCAGCAGUAAGUCCAGACCCAGCUUGCAGAUCCUGAAAGGUCUCAGUGCUGUUCUCCAGUUUUCCUUAUGGCUGAGACAGUAUGUGAACCAGGCCUGUCUAAAAGGUCUGUUCCCAGACAUUCUGGGGGAACAUUUAUUCUUCUGGAUAAAGAUGUAACUGCAACACUCUCCCCUUGUUUCCUAUCUUGAAUUUGGAUGUGAUGGCUGGAGCUGCAGCUGCUGUUUUGUCAAAACCUCUGUCAAGAUGUAGUUGAUGUGUCGAAUCAGAACCUUCACCUGCCUUCUGCAGGGUGAUUUGUGUUAUGUGAGAAAAGGGAAUCCCUGUCAAAUUAAGGCACUGCAGAGACCUUUCCUAUACUUCAAGCUGAAUGUGUUCCUAAUGGAUAAAAGGACAUUUCCAAACCUCUUUCUCAUAUGCAAUCUACAGUUCUGAUCAUUAUUGGUAUUUUACUGACCCAACCCUUAAAGACGUGAGGACCUUUUAUUCUGUGCCAGGGGCAAUAUUGCUGUGCCCGUUUGAAAGAUGGUAAUGCAGAGGAGUGAAGAACAGAGAUUCGACAUUCAAACUUUCAGAGCAAACCCAAGAGCCCCGAGGCGCACACUGUGGCUUCCAUUCCGAGACCACGCGCUGUCCCCGGUUGGCAGAGCGCACCGUCACAUCCCGUAGGAGGAUGAAAGCCUGUCUCGAUGCUGCCAGAACCUCAGAUGGUGGUUCCAGAGAGUCUGAGGGCUGAAACCCAGCACUUAAGACUUCCAGGCUGUUCUUCUGGCUUGGAAACUUAUGCCGCAGCUUCGAGAUUCUGGAAUCCGUCGUCGCACAGAGACGUCCAGCUGUCUGCAGGAGCUGCUGUGUCUCCAGGAGGUGGCCACGCUCCGAGCCCCUCAUGGGUCCUGAGUCCUGCUGGGGCAGGGACAUCUGACCGGUGGAGAGCAUCCUGAAGGGCAAGGUGGAGGAGGAAGGCCGACCAGGAGACGUCCAGACACUUGAUUCCCCAAGGAAACCACCAGGUCACCCGUUCCAAACGCCGGGCACAGCAGAGCUUUUUCUGACAAAGUGGCUGCAGCGUCUGUCCCUCCUCCCAAGUCCAGCCUCUGACGCAGGCACAGCAUCGUUUCACUUAGUCAAAGCCAUUUUAACUCAAUUUGGUUGGCUAAAAAUAUCUUGGUCCAAAACCUAAUCCCAACAUCAGAAGACACUUUAUUUUCAGAUUUGUGAUUUCCUUUUUUUUUUUUUCCUUCAAAGACUUUACUUGUGUCAUAGUUCAAUGAAGAUGGGUCAUUCCCUUUCUAUUUUUUUUUUACUAUUUCUAUAAGUUCCCUGUCCCUUAGAGUCGAUUAAAAAAUUCUAAAAAAAGGUAAUACUUCUAUAGUCUUGGCCAUAUGCUAGGCACACGUAUUAACUCACUUAAGUCUCACAACACGUUUGGGGUAAGUACUAUUAUUUAGCCCCAUUUUACAGAGCAGGAAACUGAGCACAGAGAGGGUAACCAACAUACCUGAGGGCAUUCAGCAAGCCAGUGGCAAGGCAAGCAGUCUGACGGCAGCUGAUGAGAAUCAUAUAGUAUUGAUAGCCAGCAUUUCUGAGUACUUAGCUCACAUCAGACUGUCCAGGGAGGCUUCUGCAUGCAGCACCUUCUUUAAUCACCCCCAUAACCUGUGGGGUGCUAAUGAUCAUCGUCACCAUUUCACAGAUGAGGGACUUGAGGCUCGGCCACCUCCUUGAGCGGGUCCCUGAUUUAAUAAAACGCAGACACUUUCCAGCGGGAACGCCCUCUGCCCUGUGCCCUCCACACGCCCUGCUUUGCUAGGCACCACUGCCCGCUGCCCUCCCUGCAGACCCCUCCAGGGUCUGAAUCAGAUGCUCCCAGCUUGGUUCCUUCAUCACCCCAAACUACAACAGCCACCUUCCUUAUCCGUCUCCCCCACCAGCUCAGGAGCUCACUAGACGGCAUAUAUUUUUAGUGACACAAGUGUUAGAAACACCAAGAAUCAUAAAACAAGAAAAAAAUAAAAAUAAAAAAACCCACCCUGCAUCCCUGGAGACAUCUGGGUGUCCCUGGUUUAUAUUUUCAGACACAGAUGUGUCACAGAGAGAUAAAACACAGACGGACGGACCUCAGGGUCUAAGCGUGCGAUUCCGUGGUGUUCAGUUCCCAGAACGGAGCCCACGCCGUCUCCAGAACUUCUCCAUCACAGCCCACGGGGAUCUGGGUCCACUCCCUAAAGAAGGGUCAAAGGAGACCAGCGGCAGGAAAAUGAGUGGGGCUGGAGGGCGCUGUGUUAAGGGACACGCGACCGACUCAGAA